UACGAAGGUGUCGAACGUUGUCCGGAAUAACUGGGCGUAAAGGGCGCGUAGGCGGUCGGGUAAGUGGGAUGUGAAAGCUCUGGGCUCAACCCAGGAAUUGCAUUCCAUACUGCUCGACUUGAGUUCGGUAGAGGAGGGCGGAAUUCCAGGUGUAGCGGUGAAAUGCGCAGAUAUCAGGAGGAACACCGGUGGCGAAGGCGGGUCUCUGGGCAACAACUGACGCUGAGGAGCGAAAGCGUGGGGAGCGAACAGG
rnacentral:rRNA from 1 species